rnacentral:RNase_P_RNA from 1 species
GGAGUUGGUCAGGCAAUCGCUGCAGUCUUGGACUGUGGAGGAAAGUCCGGGCUCCACAGGGUAGGGCGCCAGGUAAUUCCUGGGGGGCGUGAGCCUACGGAAAGUGCAACAGAGAGUAGACCGCCCGGUUACCUCGUAAUCGGGUAAGGGUGAAAGGGUGCGGUAAG